GUACAACUCAUCCAAUUUUGCCAUUCAUUACAAUUUCUACAAAGUUUCUUUCAAAACAUUGCAUUAAAAGGGUACUUGACACAGAGAUGAAUAAUGGCUAUCACUGUUUCAAUUUUACAGAAAAACUUUCUUACGAAGUGUAGACCCUAAGCAACCAAAAAAUGUCAAAUUCUCACUUAGAUCUAUCAUUGAAACUUUCCCAAGGGGAGGUGCAUGCAUGACUUUUCAGGGGAGGUACAAAAAUUCUCAGGGGAGGUGAAAAACGAUCUCACGGGAGGUGCGAACCUCCAAAUCCGGCCAUGCAAUAUAACAGCCAUUGGCUUCAUUUAAGCACAGCAUAUGCUCUAUCCAGUCCAAGGUUUGAGAUCAGAAGCGGAACAUUUCAGAAGAACUCCGCCAUAAUUGCUCGUUAUCACAAAGCCUGUAUUGGGGCCUUAUAUAUUCAUUUUAAUACUUGAUCAAAACAACUAUUUACAGCGUGAAUAUUGGAUUACCACCGCCUUGUGACGACAUGACAACAAUAUUCAUAAGACUAUUUACUUUUAAUUUGUAUAUAUUGCUUUAUGCUAAAAUAUGGACCGGAACAUUUUAAUUAGUUGCUGCUAGUAUUGAUGAACCGGUGAAUAUACAGUAUAGACAUCAUGAUGAAACGAUCAUUCCUCGCAUAAACAUAGGUAAAAACAUAGAUGAGUUCUAUUGUAGAAGUCAAUUGCUUCCAAGAAACGUUAUUCAUGCAGUUACUAUGUACAAACAUACAUAGUAUGAACUAUGUUAAUUUCGUUUUCAUGCAUUAACCAGCCAUUAUAAUAUUGGACACGUAUUUGCAGAAAAGUAUUGAACACUUAUUUGCCUAUACUUUCGCCAUUUUGGGUGGCAAAUUAAAAAUAGUUAAAGGCGUCAAAAGAAGACUGUCGCACUUAUAUAUUGCGGCUGUUGGUUUUGUUUGAGCACUUUGAAGAGUUAUAAUGAUCCACAGCUGCGCAGUAGUCAGUUGAAUAAAAUAUUUUUGCCACCCAAAAUGGCGGAUUAUUUUUCAUGCUACGUCAUACUACAAGACUUGAAUAGUAUAAUUUGAUGGUCGCUUAGACUGAAAGCUAAUCAAGGACUUAUUACACUGACCUGAAAGGUAAGUGUCUUAAAUCCCUAGUUUUCUGUUUUCUGUUUUUUUCGUCGUCGAGAAAUCGAGUUUGCGUUCGCGCAUCGCAGGCUCAGGGUGCAACGAUUAAUCCAAAAUGCCAUCGAUUCUUCGACUCCACGAUUCAUAUAUAAUAGUAAGAAGCUUGUAUUUAUGUACGUAAUAGCCUGCGCAUGGCAUGCUUGUGGUGCAUUUUCCGUUUAUUAGCCCAUAUAUAGACU